CUCCCUCUCGGAAGAGAUCGCCCGCGGCCGGCUGCGGCGUCGCACCGGAGAAAGAUCCAGCCGCUGACGAGCCCUCUUCGCCGUCCGUCGCCUGCCGCUGAACUGGGCUGGUUUUCGGGUCUGCAGAAUGACAAGAUGGAGCUUCUGAAACCAGGAUCGCUUCAGCAUCUUGGAGAAAAAUAGAAAAUAUGCUUGAUUUCUUACUGCAUGCUGCUUCAUCACCAAAAUUUAUGAAAGAUGCGCAACAGGCAAAGCAAGAGAGCACAGAAGCGAACAAAGCUAUUUUCUUUGAUGUUCUGGUAUAUAUAAUGAUUAAAUCAUCUUUGUUUGCUGUCUUUCAAAUAUUAUGGCUGUACCAUGCAUUAUGUUUUUCUCAUCAAGCUAAGUAAGCACACAUGUAGCUUCCACAUUUUGACAUUUUCCUAAGGAAAAUAGAUCUUUACACUUGGUCUGCAUAUUCUCCAUCUAUUGCUAUAACUUCUCCAAUCAUGUGUCUGUUCUCCUGAUGUUGGAGGAGGACAAGAAUAUUUGCUCUUUGUUUGGUGUAGCAAGUCAACGUCCUCCACUUCCUCCUCUAGGAAAGGGUCCUGGCUCCGCCAAGCUCGGCCACGCCGCCACCAGCGGCACCGCAUCUCAGGAAAGGGUCAAGUCGAGCUCUCCCGUGCCGCCAACAACAAAAACAGGUUUAUGUGCGCCCUCGGCGACAAUCAUACGGUCACCCUCUGCCGCUGCGUUGGAACCAAACCCCGACUGUCCACAACCGCCUAGUCCAUCUACGUUGGUGGCAGAGGCGGUACUAGAGGUGUUCUCCAGUCCAUCUACUCCAUGGCUAACUGUCCUCCCUGCCACCAGGGCGAAAACCACUCGGGUCUGCGAGCACGAAGAACCCCAAUGAGAAUACAUUGAAGGACCUUGGAACUGGAGGUUGUUCAACGUAUUUUGUUCUAUUCUUGACCAGUAGAAAAACUAAAGUAGCACAACUACACUUAGUUCUAAGUUUUGUUGUACAAAUUGACUCUUUUUAGGAUGACCAAAUUUCUCCCGUGUUUAUUGUUAUACAUAUUGAUUGUUGAUACUCUCGGUCAGGGAUCUUGCAAUUUUUGUUCAUUGGCAUAUUUAUCAAGUUAGCUGGCUCCCUCUCAGGGAAGUUAAAA